rnacentral:rRNA from 1 species
UACGAAGGGGGCUAGCGUUGUUCGGAAUUACUGGGCGUAAAGCGCGCGCAGGCGGUUCUUCAAGUCAGAGGUGAAAGCCCAGGGCUCAACCCUGGAAUGGCCUUUGAGACUAGAGAACUAGGGUACGGGAGAGGUGAGUGGAAUUCCGAGUGUAGAGGUGAAAUGCGCAGAUAUCAGGAAGAACACCAAUGGCGAAGGCAGCUCUCUGGGACGGUACUGACGCUGAGACGCGAAAGCGUGGGGAGCGAACAGG